UGGUAGAGUUUCGAGUCUAACUGUGCCUGGAUCUCGUUGUCGACAUUGAUAUUCCCUACCAGGGCGCGAUACCACAUCAACGUAGAUUUGUAAUGGCCGCGCAUGAUCUUGAAGAAUUGAUUUCCUCAUGGCCCUACGCACCUCUUCCGUGAUAUACGGGGCCAAUGGCGCUUUACGAUCGUUCCGCAGCCAUGUCUCCAGGGCCCCUGUUGGCCCCAGGUGCUCGAUCCAUAAAUCAGCCUCUGCGGGGUAGAACAAUGUGAAGAACGAAUCCACCUAGCAAGUUCAAUUGGCCAAUCUGCCCCACCAGCGGUGCAUACCAAUAUAAAGAUCAUGGCCAAACACUUACAUGCUCCUCAAUGAGCCCCGCCGCCCCCUCCGACACAAAAAACUUCAGGUACCCAAACCUCUCGAACCCUAAUACCUGUUUCACCAUCUCAUUAAUCGCAUCGAGAUGAAAGCCCUCACCAGGCUUCUGGUACGGGACUUCCAAGAACGACAAGCUGGCAAGCCGUGUGGGGUAAUAAUUCCCCAGCCUCGAGAGCAGAUAGCAGCCUGUAUCAUGCCCCACAGCGUGGACAGGCCCUGAGAUAUUCUCAUGGUCCAGCAGCGCAAUAAUAUCUGCAGACAUUGUCUUGGCUUUGUAGUCUGAGAGCUCCGUUGGCUGUGUUGGGUCAUUUGCAUCAGCUCCAGGAGAUGAUGUGCUCUGGCCGUAUCCGAGCAAGUCAGGCGCAAGGACGCCAUAGCCGUUUGUUAUGAAGAAAGUGAUUUGGUGGCGCCAGUCGUAACUGGAAGAGGGGAAUCCGUGGAGGAAUAGGAUGGUGGUGGUGCUGGUACUGGUGCUGGGACGGGAGAAGAUGUAGGUGUAUCUGUGCUGGGAAGCGGGGACCGUGUAAGCGCGGGCGAGGGAGGGGAACACAACGGUUGCCAUGUUGAUUUAGUCAAUUAUCUAUUAUGUAUACGGGACGUUGUGCUUAUCCGUUCCACUUGUGUUUGCUCGAUUCAGACGGCAGUAGAACGACGUUGUGCAAAUAUUUUCAAUAAGGUCACGCCCUCGCUGAAUCGCUCAUCGAUAUUUCUGGAUCAAUGCAUACUAUCUGAAAUGCACUCAGGGGCUUUGGCAGCCAAGUCAGGUGUCAAGGCCAUAAACUUCUAUUAUAAGGA
rnacentral:sRNA from 1 species